rnacentral:lncRNA from 1 species
CAGGCGAGGAGGUCAGAGUGCCUUUGUGGAACGCAUUGUCUUUCUGCAGUGUGGGUUCCAGAAAUUCAAUGUAAGUCAUUAGGGUUGCCCAGCAAGCACGUUUACCUCCCAACCCUUCAUAACGUACAUCCUCUGAGGGAUACUGCAAUAGCAGCUCUUAAUAAUGACUGAGAGGGAGUUAGACUUAAGUAAUAGAAAAUUAUAAGUGCUUUUUAUAUGUAUCUUUCUGGCUUAUUUUGUGCCUUCUGAACCUUGUUAUAAUGAGCAGCUUGGGAAAUUGUUUUUAAAUAACUACUGUAGUCAAUAAAAAAUAUGUAAGACGAUUCAGUCUAUUCAUGUAUUGUGAGUGUGGAACAUAAUGUUCCAAGAAGAAAGGAACGUGUGAAGCAAAUGCUAGAGCAUGGGCCACUAGGCUCUGCAUGCUCUUGUUUCAUCUGAAAGGCUUUUAUUCUUCCCAUUAGGCUCCAAACUUGCAGACCCACGGUGUUAUGGCCACACCCAGUUUCAUCUGUUACCUGACAUACUGAAUAGGGAACGGCUGAUAAAACAAAACCAAGCUGACCAGGUAGAAGUGGUCUUUAGAGCUAAUGCCAUUGCAAGUCUUUUUGCUUGGACUGGAGCACAAGCUAUGUACCAAGGGUUCUGGAGCGAAGCAGAUGUUACUCGACCUUUUGUCUCCCAGGGUGUGAUCACAGAUGGAAAAUACUUUUCUUUUUUCUGCUACCAGUUAAAUACUUUGGCACUGACUGUACAAGCUGAUCAAAAUAACCCACGUAAAAAUAUAUGUUGGGGGACACAGAGUAAGCCUCUUUAUGAGACAGUAGAAGAUAAUGAAGUGAAAGGCUUUGAUGAUGAUGUUCUCCUGCAAAUAGUUCACUUUCUACUAAAUAAACCAAAAGAAGACAGAGCACAGCUGUUGACAAACCAGGAGAAAGAACUUGAUCCAAGACCUUGAUGAUAUUUAAAUUUCGCCUGAGGAAUAAUAAAGUCAUUUAAAGAUUGUGUAACUGCCUGUCAUUAAACACAUUGUUUUUUUGAAAAA